UACGUAGGUGGCAAGCGUUGUCCGGAUUUACUGGGCGUAAAGAGCGCGCAGGCGGUCGUUCAAGUCGCGUGUGAAAGCCCCCGGCUCAACUGGGGAGGGUCACGCGAUACUGAUCGACUCGAAGGCAGGAGAGGGAAGUGGAAUUCCCGGUGUAGUGGUGAAAUGCGUAGAUAUCGGGAGGAACACCAGUGGCGAAGGCGGCUUCCUGGCCUGCUCUUGACGCUGAGGCGCGAAAGCUAGGGGAGCAAACGGG
rnacentral:rRNA from 1 species